rnacentral:tRNA from 1 species
AUCUUUCUAGUAUAUAAAUUACAAGUGACUUCCAAUUACUUAAACUUGGUUUAAAUCCAAGGAAGGAUA